AGCCCUAGCUCCAGCCCCGCGCCGCCGUUCUGAACUGUUAGGCCAACCUAUAGAAACCCUUGGAAAUUUACUAUUCCAGUGAAGCUGGAGAACCGGGACAAUCCUGAUGUGAUGGAGCCUGGGGACAAACAAGCCGGACCCCAGGCAAGGGCAAGGUGCUGGGUACCUGCCCAGAGCACGAACAGAAGAAGCUCCCUGCUGGCCUCCCCGCGGGUUCUGGGCACAAAAUGUCUCUGCCGACCUUAAUACAUAAGGGCUACCUUAGCGGCAAUUAUGCACUUAGGUUCCUUCACUUCCGGUAUUUAUUUAAGAACCCUAGGCCCUUCUCCUAGGUACCUUAGAGUUGACCUUGACUGGGCCACAGGAACCUUAUGUCUAGAUUUUGUAUUUGUGAUAUUGUGGGGGUAGUGUGGGGGAGGGGUGCUGCCCUGAUGCUCCAAAUCUAACAGCUUUCUGCACAGCAAGUGGGUUACCUGGUACAUAAUGUAUUUUUAAAACCUAUUUCGGGAUUACAUUGCUAUGACCAAGUAAUGUAUUUGAAACUUAGUUCGAGUCAUUGGUCCUAGGAUCUUUGGGAUUUAUUUCUGUAAACUAGUAAAUAAUAAAAAUAACUGCUACAAUUUA
rnacentral:lncRNA from 1 species